AUUGAACGCUGGCGGCAGGCCUAACACAUGCAAGUCGAGCGGAUGAAGGGAGCUUGCUCCUGGAUUCAGCGGCGGACGGGUGAGUAAUGCCUAGGAAUCUGCCUGGUAGUGGGGGAUAACGUCCGGAAACGGGCGCUAAUACCGCAUACGUCCUGAGGGAGAAAGUGGGGGAUCUUCGGACCUCACGCUAUCAGAUGAGCCUAGGUCGGAUUAGCUAGUUGGUGGGGUAAAGGCCUACCAAGGCGACGAUCCGUAACUGGUCUGAGAGGAUGAUCAGUCACACUGGAACUGAGACACGGUCCAGACUCCUACGGGAGGCAGCAGUGGGGAAUAUUGGACAAUGGGCGAAAGCCUGAUCCAGCCAUGCCGCGUGUGUGAAGAAGGUCUUCGGAUUGUAAAGCACUUUAAGUUGGGAGGAAGGGCAGUAAGUUAAUACCUUGCUGUUUUGACGUUACUAACAGAAUAAGCACCGGCUAACUUCGU
rnacentral:rRNA from 1 species